UCGACGCCCGACGCUCGCCCGCCCGCCGCGACCGGCGCCAGCAGCCCACGUGACCGCGAACCAAAUCUACCACCCACCCUCAAUCACCACUGUGGCCUGUUGUGUAAGACUAACAAAAAAAGUUUAAAAAAGUGAUAAUGGUAAAGCAUGGUCUGUAACACCAGACGAGUGACUAUCGAGUAAUUUUGGCCGGUUUCGGCGCCAGCGACCGCCACGUCUACGCAAUGCUACGAGAUACGUGCAGUCCGCACCGGACAGGCCGCUCAGUAUGGACUUCGCUCUCUGGAUCUACGGGAAGUUCGUAUUAAAAGGCGAUUUCCAAGGAGUGCAUCAACAUGCCACCUAAACCGCGCAACGGAGUAGUGGGCCUGCUGCAGAGCGCCGCGCGGCCCGCCCUGUGACUAGCGCGCCUGCUCGCCGGCGGCACGGGCGGCGGAUUAGGCGUGGGGCGCGGCGCGUGGCGGCGGCGCGGGCGCGGGCGGCGCCAUGAGCCAGCGGCCGGCGCCAUGACGCAGUCAGCGCCCGCGCCGCCCGCGCCCCCCGCGCCGCCCGCCGCGCACCGCGCCAUGCGCUACUACCGCAUCUGGAUCUACGCGUGCAACGGCGCGCUGCUGCUGGGCGCGCUGGCCUUCUGCGCGGCGGCGGGGCGCGCGCUGGGCGACUACCGGCGCGCGCUGGUGCCGGGGCUGGGCGUGGCGCAGCCCGGCUUCCUGUACGGGUACGCGGCGCUCCCGGCGCAGGCCGGCGCGCUGCAGCUGCUGGGCUGCCUGGCCGCGCUGCGCUUGUCCGAGCGCAUGCUCAACGCCUACUGGCUGGCCCUGCUGGCGCUGCUGGUGGGCGACGCGGCCAUCGGCGUAUACUGGGCCUUCCGCUUCGAGCGCGUGUGCCGCGAGCUGCGCCCCCAGCUGCGCGUGCGCCUCGCGCGCGACUACGACUCCGACGCCGAGUUCGCCGAGGCGUGGGACCGCCUGCAGCGCGAGCAGCGCUGCUGCGGCGUCACGGGGCCCUCCGACUUCGCCGCCUUCAAUCGCAGCACGCUGCCACCGAGCUGCUGCCGGCUGCCGGCGCACGCCGCGUCCUCGCCCGCGCUGGCGCUGUCGCCGCCCACGCUGGCGCCGCCGCCCUCCUUCACCCCCGUGCACUGCGCGCCGCACACCGCCGCCUGCGCCGAGAGACUGCUCGUGUGGUUGCGGAGAACGGCCGAUGCGCUGUUUGUUUUAGGUUACUGCGUCAUUGCAUUUUUGAAACUGUGCUUCCUCGGAAUACUCCGAUACGAAAUAAAGGAAAUGAUUCAAAAGAUUAGAAUCCUCAGAAGUGAGAUCGGGGCCGGCGAGCUGCUGGAUGGCAGCCCCAUGCACGGCGGGCCGCUGUCGCAGACGGUGAUCGUGAACGCGGUGAACGCGAACGGCGGCGUGCGCGCGCACGGGGGCAGCCCGGAGCGCGGGGGCGAGCGCGACGCGCUGCUGGGCCGCGCCUCCGAGCCGUGCCUGCGCCGCCACGAGGAGCUCGGGCCCAAGGCUGUCAACGGCAACAACAACUGCGAGAUGCGCGAGCUGGCGCGCGGCGAGUACCGCCCGCUGGCCACGGACAGCGCCGCCACCAGGAUCUGACUAAGAUGUUACCUGGAGCGGCUGUUCGGGCGGCGCUGGCGCUCGUUCCCGUCCGCCGGGUACGACAUGGAGCCGGCGCGCGUGCCGGGCGGCGCGGGGGGCGUGGGGGGCGCGCGGCGCGGGGGCGCGGCCCGCGUGCGCCUGGACCGGCGCCGCCACACGCGCUGCGAGUUCGAGCUGUAGCCGCCCCCGCCGCCGCCGCCGCCCCCGCUCCGCCAUCGCCCAUCGCUGCCGCUUCUCCAGCGGUUCUCCAGCCGCUGAUGUCAAUUUUAACGUCGAGGACUUUCGGUUCAUUAUACAUACUUAGUGAUAGAUUGAACAUUAACAACAUUUUGCGCAGUGCUACGUAUACAGUGAAGUUAAACUGAAGUGGUAGUGCGUAUGAUUUUAGACUUGAAUUCACGAGCAAGGCUUGUGUUUAGUUCCUACGCUUGACUGUUCGAUUUUGGUGACUUUAAGUUUUGCGAGACUGUUAGCGCAGCCGGAAUGAAAUAUCGGUCCCAGGGAUUGGAGAUGAACAUUUAGAAAUGAUUAAAUCAUUAAAUUAUUCGUAAGAAUAGAAGAUGUUGCUAUAUCCUCGUAUAAAAUAUGAAUGUUUUGCCGUGUCUCCGCCGCCGGGACCUAUCGCUGCGCGACUGCUACAUGAGUUUCCUACGACGACCAAUUUUAAUAUCCAUCAACAACUUGAAUUUGCUGCAUUUCCCUUUCUUUGAAUUUCGUGUAGCUUCUGCUUGCCCUCACGGCUGUAGAUUUGUUUACAUUGUCGCACUCGCCAGAGAACUUCAUAGACUUAGAUUAGGAGCAAGUAAAUGGACCCUUUUAUUAUUGGAUCGUUCUUUGUAUACAACUCUUUAUUCAUACUGGGAUACAGGGCAAUGUUCAAACUGAAAACUGUCGUAAGUAAAUUAUUUUGUUGCUAUUUAGUGUAAAUAAAAAUAUAUGAAUAACUGUACAUGCGUAGUUCACGACGAAAAAGUGCAUGGGCAGAUCGUGAAAAAUAGUACUGAUAUGAGCUUAAAAGACGUAGUGCCUGCGAAUAUAAUGCUUAUAAACAAUAAAUAGAGCAAACAUUUACACAGAGACCAUAGCAUUCGCUUUCUUAAUAAUGACAGACGAAUUUAAACUGUUCUCAGUUAAUGGAAUCUUAAAAUAGCAGGAGAGAAGGCAUCUAAAGUAAAUUAAAGCAGAGUAAAUUGUACGAGUAGGUACGUGAUACACAAUGUUGUAGUUUAAAUAAUUAAAGGCUGUGUCUGUGAAGGUUUAACGUAAUGGCGUGAGACGGAGCGGAGCGUGGCGUGCGCGACGCGUGACGUGACGUGGCGUGGCGUGGCUUGGCGUGGCGCACGGCCGCGCCCGCACAGUGGUUGCAAACCCUUCUUGUUGUAGACAUACGGACAGAUUCCUGAACCAUUUACAAAUUGGAAUUUAUGGUCAUCCCAAAUUUAACAUAAAUUAAUAUUUGUACUUAAUUACGAAGUAAAUUUAUAGAAUACUUAUAUUGUAAUAAUGAGUAUAAUUGAUAUGUUUGCUUAGAGUAAUAUUUUGUGAAUUUAUGCAGAAAAAUAGUUUUUUAAUAUUGUUGUCACAUGAAUGUACCAAUCUUACUAAAAUUUGUAUAUUCGGAAAGUUGGAUAAUUAUUAGCUAGGAUACAAUCUAACCCCGCCUCUUCCACACCACAGUGACAUGUGCCUUGGCUCGAUACCUGUGGGACUUCAGUUCUUGGGGGUCACUCUAAUUUUAUUUAUGCAUCCCACCGCUCGCUGUACCUCAGAAUAUAGAAGCGUUGACAUGCCAUCGGUAUCGAUACUGUUACAAAAUUACACAAUGCUAUAAAAUUGUAGUUACUUAAACAGCUUAACAACUUUUUAUAAAUUAGAGUAACCCCCUGACUCGCGACCUGCCUAAAACUAACUAUGUAUAUUAAUCAUUAGAUAAUUAAAUUAGUGUUUCAUUUAUAGUACUGUUAAAGUUUACAGUUACCAACAUUAUAGUGCAAGAAAAGAACUUUAUACCAUAAAAGUUAUAACGAUCCUGAAAUAACAUUUAUAUAAAAUUUUAUCAUGAUAUUUCAGUGUUUUUUUACGUAAGUUACCGCAGGCCGAGUUAUUAUAAUUUUAAUUAAAAGCUGUAGCUUGAUCUCGGGUUGGUCUCCUCGCCGUUGUAAUUAAAGUAUAAUUUCGAGGUAGGAUUGUUGCAACUUUCCGAAGGUACGCACUAGGCGACUGAGAGCUAAUACUACCUUAAUAAAUGCAUUAAAAUAAACAAUUUGUUAAU